UCAUGAAUGCUCAUUAUGUAUUUGUAGCCUACUUAUCAUUUUGAUAGUAGGCUAAUAUAGACACAGCAUGUGUUGCCCUCAUUAUAAGGCUUAUAUAAGGCUUUUAAUUUUUUGCGGCUCCAGACAAUUUGUUUUUUUGGUUCAAUAUGGCUCUUUCAACAUGUUGGGUAGCCGACCCCUGGGCUAGGGCGAUAGAGUGUGCUAGCUAACUUGCUCGUUAGAUAGCACACUGUGUCGCUCCCGCCUGCUAUGUACCGGAGAAAACCAUGCCCGACAGUCAGGGGCGAAGGACAAUGUCUACCAGUCGCCCCUGCUUCCCGCAAGCACAUCAGACGGGAGGCUGGGGCGACACGUGUACUAACUAGUAGUUUGCAACGCCGUGUGCUAGCUAGCCUCCCGCCAGCUGUGUACCGGAGUACUCCAGUUGGUUAAGCUAGCACCCAGUGUCCUUCGCUCUCGACUACUGAAAACCUGCCCUUACCGUCGUUAACAGAACUGCGGGAAACCAGUGCCUAACAAACGGGACGAAGGACACUGUCUAACGUACUGGUGUAUGGCUAGCUACGGUUUACGCCCCCGCGGGGUUUAUCAGUUGCUGGCAUCCAACAUGAUUGUGCAGUAAUACCCACAUACAGGAACGCAAUUUCACCAUUCUCCGAUUUUCAACCCUUGCGCGUCAAUUAAAAAUACUGUGUUUCGCAAUGUCUCGUGUUGUUGAAGUUCAAUAACAGUUAUGAGAAAUGACUUAAGUGAUAGAAGUGUAAUAAAACUAAACGCAGGUGGUUGCAUUACAGAGAGCAAACAAAGUCAUUUCAAUACAAACAAUUAAAUUGAUCAGUUUGGUAUUGCACAUGAGUAAAAACCCAAUAUUAAUAUUACAGCUGACUGAGCCUUCCCUGUUCUGCUUGAGCCGUCUCUGAACAGGAGGAACACGCUUUAAUGCCAAUCUCAGGGCAUCAAUGGUGUCCUCCUUUGGCGUGUAGGUUAUGUAUGAGAGGAAGCGGUAGCCUCUCAAAACACUUCCAAUAACUAGAUUCAUGCUUUCAAAUAAAGAUCGGAACUAGUACUGCUGCUAGGAAGACCAAUGUACUAAAAAAGAAACAUGAAAUCGACCAACAAAUCACCUCCCUUACAGAGACAUACCAGCUAACAGAAGAGAAUGUCUGUCUGCGCUUCCUGGUCUGCUCGCUGCUGAACGACAUAGCUGCUGCAUAUUUCCUAGAAUGCAUCAUUGUGCCCUUUGGCUCCUCCGUGAACCGCUUCGGGAAGCUGGGUUGUGAUCUAGACAUGUUUCUGGACCUGGAUGGUCUUGGGAUGGAAGUAAUCUGAAGCCAAAAGCAGGGCUGUCUUUGGAGUACCAGGCAAAGAGGUCUGCGUCUGAGUGAGCGGUGACCCAGAGUAUCCUGUCUGUGAUUGGGGAGUGUGUAGACCAGUUUGGACCCGGCAGAAGAUCCUCAACGCUCGCUGUCCCCUGGUCCGCUUCACCCACCAACCAUUAGGGUUCCAGUGUGACCUCACAGCCAACAAUAGGGUGGCGAUGAAGAGCUCUGAGUUUCUGUACCUGUAUGGGCGGCUGGAUCGGUGGGUGCGUUGCUUGGUGCUGUGUUCAGUGCUAGGCCUGGGCCCACAGUAUCACCAGCUCUAUACCUGGAGCCUGGAUCACCAACUUCUCUCUCACUGUCAUGGUCCUGUUCUUCCUGCAGAGGAGGACUGUUCCUAUACUUCUCACCCUGGACCACCUCAAGGAACUAGUAGGUAGACACAGACGCACCCACCCACACCCACAAGCAAGCCCAUACUGCCCACCAUGGACUGCCUCAAAGCAGGUAGAGAAAAAUGGAGCACUGAGCGGCAACUUCAUUUAACAAAAAUCUAUACUAUCAGUAUCACCUCAAAGAGCUGGCAGGUAGUAGUCUUGCAUUGCUACACUUCCUAGUUGUAUUCAGUAAUUUGGAAAUUGAUGUUCAGCCGGUAGCAAUGGACCACUGAGCGAGUGGCAAUUGGGUUAUUAAAAUAUUAUUUAUUGAAUAGAUCUGAUUGCUGAUCCUAAUUGGCAACAAAAAUAUCUGUGUUGGCAUAGUACAGUCAUGCUCUCUUCCCACCGCUCAUACUCCUGCUUCCCUUGUCACCUUGGCUCUCAAAUAAUUGCCUUCCAAAAGCAAUCUAUCCCCCCUCCCUCCAUCUUAGCCCAGACAGAGACACUAUCCCAGGCAUCAUCACAAUAAAGGACCUAUCCGAACAUCACACCUGCGGGACAGGUACAGGAUGGCAACAACAACUGCCCGAGUUACACCAGGAACGCACAAUCCCUCCAUCAGUGCUCAGACUGUCCGCAAUAGGCUGAGAAAGGCUGAACUGGUGGCUUUUAGGCCUGUUGUA